CAGGAAGAAGCUUGCUUCUUUGCUGACGAGUGGCGGACGGGUGAGUAAUGUCUGGGAAACUGCCUGAUGGAGGGGGAUAACUACUGGAAACGGUAGCUAAUACCGCAUAACGUCGCAAGACCAAAGAGGGGGACCUUCGGGCCUCUUGCCAUCGGAUGUGCCCAGAUGGGAUUAGCUAGUAGGUGGGGUAACGGCUCACCUAGGCGACGAUCCCUAGCUGGUCUGAGAGGAUGACCAGCCACACUGGAACUGAGACACGGUCCGGACUCCUACGAGAGGCAGCAGUGGGGAAUAUCGCACAAUGGGCGCAAGCCUGAUGCAGCCAUGCCGCGUGUAUGAAGAAGGCCUUCGGGUUGUAAAGUACUUUCAGCGGGGAGGGAGGGAGUAAAGUUAAUACCUUUGCUCAUUGACGUUACCCGCAGAAGAAGCACCGGCUAACUCCGUGCCAGCAGCCGCGGUAAUACGGAGGGUGCAAGCGUUAAUCGGAAUUACUGGGCGUAAAGCGCACGCAGGCGGUUUGUUAAGUCAGAUGUGAAAUCCCCGGGCUCAACCUGGGAACUGCAUCUGAUACUGGCAAGCUUGAGUCUCGUAGAGGGGGGUAGAAUUCCAGGUGUAGCGGUGAAAUGCGUAGAGAUCUGGAGGAAUACCGGUGGCGAAGGCGGCCACCUGGACGAAGACUGACGCUCAGGUG
rnacentral:rRNA from 1 species